UACGAAGGGGGCUAGCGUUGCUCGGAAUCACUGGGCGUAAAGCGCACGUAGGCGGCUUUCUAAGUCAGGGGUGAAAUCCUGGAGCUCAACUCCAGAACUGCCUUUGAUACUGGAGAGCUUGAGUCCGGAAGAGGUGAGUGGAACUCCGAGUGUAGAGGUGAAAUUCGUAGAUAUUCGGAGGAACACCAGUGGCGAAGGCGGCUCACUGGCUCGAUACUGACGCUGAGGUGCGAAAGCGUGGGGAGCAAACGGG
rnacentral:rRNA from 1 species